rnacentral:rRNA from 1 species
CAAUAGCGUAUAUUUAAGUUGCUGCAGUUAAAAAGCUCGUAGUUGGAUUUCGGGUGGGAAUGGCCGGUCCGCCGGUUCGGUGUGCACUUGCUACGCCCACCUUGCUGCCGGGGACGUGCUCUUGAGUUCACGCUCGGGACACGGAGUCGGCGAGGUUACUUUGAGUAAAUUAGAGUGUUCAAAGCAGGCCUACGCUCUGAAUACAUUAGCAUGGAAUAACACGAUAGGACUCUGGCCUAUCUUGUUGGUCUGUAGGACCGGAGUAAUGAUUAAGAGGGACAGUCGGGGGCAUUCGUAUUUCAUUGUCAGAGGUGAAAUUCUUGGAUUUAUGAAAGACGAACUACUGCGAAAGCAUUUGCCAAGGAUGUUUUCAUUAA